GUUAUAGCAAUCAAUACCUUGUCCACAUUCCGCAGGUAGUAUGACACAACAUAGUCUCCCAGGCUGAUGCGAUUGUCCUGAAAUAAAUGUAGAAAUAGCACAAGAAGAAGAAGUAUUCAGGUCUGUUACAGAAAUACUACAACUGUGAAAAUACUUCACUGCAUGUAAAAGCUAUUUUCAUUGAAUACUUAAGUAAAAAUGUAAGCAUUCAUUCGUUCAUUCAUUUUUUUGAACCCACUUUAUCCUCACUAGGGUCAUGGGGGUCGCUUGGAGCCUAUCCCAGCUACUUAUAAGCAAAGGCGGGGUACACCCUGGACAAAAUUUGCACAAAGACUGCUCCUCUACUCUUCAGGCUUUACCCUGCUUUUGACAUCUUUGAGUUUGGGGAGGAUCUCCAGGCCGAAUCCGUCAGCCUGGCCUCUGGUCCUGCUGCCUCCGUUCAUGUGGUUCCCCAGCGCCAGCACCAGCCCCAUCACCUCCCUCACACUGACGCUGUCCAGCAACACCUUUAAACAGAAAACACAACCAGGAUCCAUGAGACUGCAACUGGCAGUACAGACAGACAUCCCUCCUACAGUGUUGUAUAAAAAUAAUUUAAAGGAAAUUUGAUGCUUUCACCGCUGAGAUUACUAGUGACGGCAACAAAGUCAGGAAGAUGAUUUGUCAUUGGGCCUAAUCGCAUAAUGCACAUGUGCAAACGACGGUCCACACUCAACCUGUCGAACUGUUGACGUGAG
rnacentral:lncRNA from 1 species